UUUCCAGACAAAUAACUUUUCUCUCGAACAAGUCAGAUGUUAGACUGGCGUUGGUCUAUGCGUCUUCUUUUCUAGACAAAUAACCUUUCUCUCGAACAGGUUAGAUGUUAGAAUGGCGUGUUCUUGUGUUUGAACCGCAAAGAAUGUAGAUUUAAGAUGAAGAGAAUAAUGAUAUAAGCAAUAUACUUGUCUUGAACUCACAAACUCAUAGCUAUAGAUAGUAACUCAUUCGGCUUCCAUAACCCCAACUAAGAGAUUUAGUUACCCAUGAAUGCGAAGGAUAUCACGUUUUGCAUGGUGGAUGGCGUGAAUAGUAGGUGUUUGGCGUGUGGUUUUAGUGAUUCCGUAGCAAGUAACAAUUCUCUUGUUGUG
rnacentral:lncRNA from 1 species